rnacentral:rRNA from 1 species
UACCAGCACCCCGAGUGGUCGGGGCGUUUAUUGGGCCUAAAGCGUCCGUAGCCGGUUCUACAAGUCUUCCGUUAAAUCCACCUGCUUAACAGAUGGGCUGCGGAAGAUACUAUAGAGCUAGGAGGCGGGAGAGGCAAGCGGUACUCGAUGGGUAGGGGUAAAAUCCGUUGAUCCAUUGAAGACCACCAGUGGCGAAGGCGGCUUGCCAGAACGCGCUCGACGGUGAGGGAUGAAAGCUGGGGGAGCAAACCGG